ACAGAUCCAGGAGAGAUGUCGACGAUGGGUCCAGAAGAGGUGACAGAAGCGGAAGGAGGAGGAGGAGAGAUGUCGAUGAGGGGUCCGGAAGAAGACAGGGAUGCGAUGAUAGCGGAGGCCAAGCGGUUCGUGGAGAACUACUACAGCACGUUCGACGCGAACAGGGAGGGCUUGGUGAACCUGUACCGGCAACGAUCGGUGCUGAAAAUCGAGGGCCGGAAGAUCCAGGGCAAGGAGGCUAUCCUCGCCAAACUCAUCUCCCUUCCGCAGCCGUGCCACCACGAAUUCCCCGAGAUCAGUUGCUGCACCUAUCGCUUGGCACCCGCAUCGGCAUCGGUCGCCGUGCGCGUCCUGGUCCGCGGCGGGACGUGGUUAGGCGGCAAGAAGGAGGAGGCGGACGCCGCCCUUAUACAGCAGGUCUCUCUCGUUCUCUCUAAGUUAUUAUUUCUUGUCAACGCUUUGCAAUUUCUCUUAUCGAUCAAUCCGUUAAUCAAUCGCAUCGCGCAUAAAUACCGAGAGUACAUCUCAAGCUCCUUGUCUAACGCUCUGGCUGGCUCUGAUUCUUAACCUUCAGAGCUUCAAUCUGGUGCCAGCACGAGGAGGAAGCUUUUACAUAGCUCGACAAUCUGGGAUGCUCUUUGAUCUCAAGAAGCCUCGGUCCGGGGGUCUGUCCUACUGGCUACCGAAACCUCCCUGCUCGGCAGCGCCCUUUCUUGGCCCGUUAUAUCAAAUCCUAUCCUCGGCAUACCCGCCGACGUCGGCUGCCACGGCACCGAGUACGCCUCCGCAUUUCGAACGCCUCAGCAUUUCGAAUCCGAAUGCCACCCAUGAUGAAACUUCCUCCGUCUCUACAGAGACCUGAUGAUAAAACUGUUUUACUUUCAAUGUUCUAGACUCUUGUUUUAUUUUCAAUGUUUUGUUGCACUACUUUUGUGAAUACGUAUUGGAUUCAUGUUCGAAUCCAAGUUCAGCAUAUGUCAUACUGCUCUUAUGAACUGAACUCAGUGGCAGGGCCUUCUAAUUCUCGUGGUAAUAUACUUAAUGCUUCAUGACAUUAGCAGUGAGGAUGUUAAUAUGAUGGACAUACAUGAUGGUGGCGCAAUACCUCGCCCAUGCUUCUAGAGGAAAUAACUUUUCUUUUAACAUACAAGUUUUAUUUCAUGACUUUAAUAUAGUACAGAUAAUCAUGAGUUAAGAUAAAAAUAAAUAGGGAGCAAUUUACAUUUUGGCCGCCAUCGGCGAAAUGGAAGGUAGACAGAUGACUCUAGGACUAGAAUAUUAUAGUAAAUACUUUGUAUCCCUAGUAUUGUUUUAUGUCCGUAUAAAUUGAACCCGACUCAUUCAGCACGAAACACUCUCAAUAGAAUUCCUAACACCAACUCGCGACACCUAAAAGACUAGGAUUGCCGACUUAUAGUCAUCUGACAAAACCAGGAUUUGAGAACCUCUGCCCAUAUAGGCAAAGGCAUUUGGAACAAUUCUGACAAAAUCAGGAUUUGAGAACCUUUGCCCAUAUAGGCAAAAGCAUUCGACAAAACCCGGAUUUGAGAACCUCUGCCUAUAUAGGCAAAGGCAUUUGAAACAAUUAUGACAAAAUCAGGAUUUGAGAACCUCCGCCCAUAUAGGCAAAAGCAUUCAGAACAAUUCUACUUCACCUUGCCGAGAUCUCUCUCUCUCUCUCUCUCUCUCUCUCUCUCUCUCUCUCUCCUCAUGUCAGCCACUACCCGGUGACAACUUAAACACAUGGAACCAAAAAUAUUGGCCCCCGAGGUCUCCGUGAAUUCUUUCAACUUUGUUCAUGCGCAUACCACUUGCAGUUCAGGUGCCUAAAGUAUUAGAAAAAACCAAAUCAAAUAAUCCUUGCCAGUCAAACUGGCUGAUAGAUAAUGCACUUGAAGGAUCCAUGAAGACCCACGAAGACCAUAUAAACCAUCAUUCGAUAUUGCCUUGACACAAAUUAUGGGAGGGUAGAGUGGCUUGACAGCCUCUGCAACAGAAGGACGACAAUACUGACUUUCAGACAACCCACCUUUUAGCAAAGUUGGGCGACAACCAUGGACCUGCUCAGCCCUCAAAUAUGCCCUAGCACUCCUUGGAGUAGACAAUUGCCCAUCAAUGAAUGCACGAAAGAAGUGAUACUGUAAAACAAAUCGAGGACAAAAACUUCAUGAACAUUUACUGGCUCAACGUGGCUGUUUAUUAUUUUUCCACCGAUUUUAUUGAUAACUGUCAAGAUUGUUGAGAGAAACAACAACAAAUUCAGGUAGCGGGUGUAUCGGGGAGCACAUUACACAAUGGACUUGAUCAUUUUCAUCCUCUGCUGGAGGGGGGAGAUUUCUUAGCCUCAGAUGGUUUGUCGAUGCCACAAUCAUGUUUGUUACACUUUGUCCGGAAUGAAUAAUUUACGUUACUGCAUUGCUCACACUUCCAACUACUCUCUGGCAUUUUUGUUUUGAAAGUCACUUUAUAAAUGAGUACCAAUAUAGACGAAUACGAGGCAAGCAACACGGCCAGUAGUGAUAACUUACUAUAGUUCUUUUCAGAGUUUGAAACCUGCAGUUGAAGAGCAUAAAAAUCUGUUAAUUUAAACCAAUAAGCACUCUUCAGCUGAAACAAAUUGGCUAGAGCAAAGUUAUAGCUCCGGAAUACGAUAAACACAUGAAAGAAAGCCACAAAGUUUAAUCUCCUCAAGCUGCUAAAUUGUUUGCCAAAGCAACACCGACCCAUGAUUCAGGCUUUGGAGCAUUGCACUCUUCACACCGUUCUAAAAGAGAAGUAAACAUUUCCACAAUCCGGGCACGUCCGAUCAUUAUCGCGUGUUGCAUCUACAACGUAUUUCAAGGAAAUCUAAUGUCAGUUGGAGAUAAACCGGUAUUCUUAUUGUUAAUUCUAAAAGCAAUCACCAGCACAUGGAAUACCAACCUGCCCCCUUCUUUUGAAGUUUAUCACCGGGGAAAAAUCCCGGCCGUGGUCCCUGGGAGAAUAAAUGCCAAAACAAUGACAUGCAGAAUAUCUGAAAUAGUGAAAAGGAAAAAGCAGCAACAUCCAAAGACAGAGAAAUUUCACAUAGAUCAUGCCACCGAACCCAUCGGAAGCCCCAGCCAUAUCUGUCCAUCAUAGGAGGCAUCCCAUACAUUCCACCUGAACCGAAUCCCUUAUGGGUCGUUUUUGUCAUAUGUUUCUUUUUUAAUUAUUCUUUUGCCAUUUGUCUCGUGUGUUUUCUUGCACUGUUGGUAUAGGUAUGUAAUACAGAUGCUUCCCUUACUGUUGGUAUCUAGUCAUAUAUAGUUUAAUGAACGAAAUCUCAAAUAAUUGGUAAAUCAUUGAAGGAAUGAUGAUUAUAUUAUGUCGGUAGUCUAAUACGCAAUAUAAUAGUCGGCAAUAUGCACCCGCUAUUUUGGGAUAGUGAUCUAAAUUUUCAUAAUCUCAUAUUAUACAACUCGUGAUGUGCUAUAAUCUUGAUUUCAAAUUAUAUCAAUCAAUGCUCGAAUUUCAAAUGCAAUUACUAUUUCAACUAUGCUGUUAAUUAUGUAAUAAAAAUAAAUUUAAUAGCAUAUUAUAUGACUAAGUACAGCCUAUUACCUUAAAUUAUUUAUUUAAUUUUACAUACCGAAUAGCGAUUUUUUGAUGAUAUAUAUAGAGUACUACACUCGCGAUCGAUAUUAGGUAAUAACUACCGUGACAUAGUAUUUGCUUUGAUGCAAUCCCACGUCAUACGCUUAACUUUUGAUCAUAAUCAAUAACUAAAUUAUUAAAAGUAUAAAUAAACAUUUGAUAGAACAUAUUGUGUAUACAAUAAUUUAUAUACAAUAAUUUAUAUAGGAAGCUAAACUCAUGAGUCAAAAUUAAUUUUGAUAUUCCUUCAAAUCUUGAUUUUAGGGAAGUAUUUUUAGAUUUCUGUUCUAUUUGGACCUGGAAGAGUUUAAUCGAAACGGGAGUAGUCGCAGGUAGAAUGCUUCCUGAUGCGGCCUUUUUGGGUUUGGCCCGUUUUGGGUGGGUGGGGAGGGGCAGAGUCGUGACUGAGUUGAGCCGCUUAGGGGCUAUUUGGGCUCUACUUAUUAAUCAAUCAUCAGAGCAUGAGCCUCUGGACUCAUGAUCACCACGUAAGCAGAAACCAUCUCAAGACAGAAAGAAAACCAGAUAGAGCUUGACGACAUUAGCUCAUAUGUGAAAGAACAGAGUCUAAUCCCCAUCGGAGGUUCCAUUUUAGCCAGGAUAGAACUUAAGCUCAACAGGUUGACAUUUAGGCAAGAGAUGAAGGAGAUGAGCAACCAUCUGUGGUAAGGGCUUGCAAGAAGCAAGAGACUCCAAGGACAAAUGGAAAAAGGGGUACUAAAAAAUUAAGAGAAUAGUUGGCUAGGAAAGGUCUCAUGAUGAUAAGAGAGGACAUAGACUUCUCCUUAAGUAUCAUGCGGAAGAAGCUAAAUAAUAUAAAGUGGCACCUGAGAAUAGACUCUUAACUUUACAAGUGACAUUCUAUCAUUCAGACCACCUGCUGUUAACAGAGGAGGAUUUAACUGUAUCAUGACAUAGAACAAAACAAAGCUACAAAAGUAAGCUAGACAGCUCCAGAUCUACCUAUCAAGAUUUCAAACUCAAGCGACUCCUCGACAAUGUUUUCUAGAACUCGAUGAUUUUUCUGUAACAUUCCCUUUGCUUUGCGACAAGCCAAAUAGUACAUCUGCGAAACAAGGAUCCAUCAAAGAAUCUUGCACUCGACCAGAGAUUUGCGGCUCUUUCAAUUUGGACUAUUGAAUAAUAGUAAGCCAGACAAAGCCUCAUAGCAACGGACAAAUGCCUUUUCGACUUUAGCAUGGUUGUUCCCCAUGCUCAAAGCUGUAACCUAGAGAAAUAGAAACGUACAAACAGAAUUAAGGUAAAGCGCAUCAAAGAUUCCCAGCUGGAACAUGAAGCUUCAAUACAUAACAGCGUCGAGAAUGAUCCGCAUUUGUCCAUUUCACAAUCAUAAAGUGCAUGCAAAAUGGACCGGAGAAGUACUGCACUACUGUGAUAGUAAAUUGCAGGACUGUCUCCGCCGGUACUUGUGGAUUCAAUCGUGCAAGAAGGGGGGACACCAUUUGCUUCUCAUCAAGCCCCCAACCGUACUGAAUGACCAUUCCUGUCGCCAUCCGUCACAGGUUAUGUAUCUUAAUAUAUAUGUCUACAUGUAUUCACCUUUCGCUGUGAGAGUUUUCUCAUGAAAGGUAAUCUAAGGUAGAGAACAUCGACAAACUUCUCAAAGCAUAAUGUUACAGGACCAACCUCUUGAGUUUGCUUCAGUUCGGAAGAAGAGAGAAAAUUCUUCCCCGGGAGGAAGUAGAAGCUGUGAAGCAACAUCCAAACCAAAGCAAAAUACAAGCUACUUUUCAAGGUAUGAUCUUAGUUCUGAGUUAGCAUUAACAGAGCCUUCACUCCGUGCCUCGGUGAUCUUUGUACAGCCAAUUCCCUGCAAGAAAGGGGUCAAAGUGAACGUCUUUAUAAGACCAAGGGCUCUAAAAUCCCAUAAGGCAUGCAUCUGCAAAUAACUUCUCCUGCGAAGAGGAGAACAAGAACAACCCAGGACACAUGUGGAUACGCUCAAUGUAGCACAAUGAUUAAAUUAAAUCUGCCAAAAUGCUCCAAUGACAGAUAAAGCCAUAAAUAGACAUCUCACGUCAUUGUGUUCGACUGUUUUGAUAUCCCGUUUCAUAUUAAACUCUUGAUCCUUAGAUACGACGGCAAGGAUCAUGGCCAACAAAAGCAUGGGACUGAUUCACUGAGUGCCCAGAUAAAGAAGGUAAUUUAUCAUUUCAAUAGCAUGAAUGGAUGACAGUACCACUGAAUGAAAAGUUCGAUAACGAACAACAUGCCAAUGCACAUAGCUUGUAAAGUGCCAGAAGGAAAAAGCACAAAAAAGAUUGAAAUGGCGAGCUGACAUCCAUGAAGGAUGACAUUCCCUGUUCAGCAGUAGAACAGGACCCCUAAAAUAGGAAUAAGGCUCUUGCAGGUACUUGCUCAUAAGCUUAAUAAGGCGCAUGCUAUUUCAUUACAAGAAAGAAAAAGAGGACAAUAACCUGCCACGAAGAUGGUUCAAGCCACAAAUUGUCGACUACAUCAAAGUUUGAUAGUCAAAGAGCUAUAAGGCCAUGACCAGCUGCCCAAACAGCAUGAGGGAACUUGGUUUCCUCUGUCCACUUUCAAAUCAUCCAUAUUAUGCAAGUCGCCUCGAAGAAACCAACGGAACUUGUACGCAUAAUGAUAUCAUCGUUUGUUCGCCGGUCUGGGUAUAUCAAGUUAGCUAAAUUUUUAGAACAAUGAUUCGUAUCUGAUAACCCUACCACCUUCUAUUUUUAACCACUGAAUUUGUUGUACUCCCGAUUCUUUAGAGUGCGCAAAAAAUAAAACAGCAGAAAUUUAUAGAUUAGAAUUUUGUCAAUUUUUAGAAUUGUUCGGAAGACAAUAGCCCGGGAUAGUCCAACAAACUAAUAGUAAGCAUCAAGGAGAAUUAAUUGAGCAUAACUCCAUUGUUUAUUUGGCCGUACGGUUCAAUUAGAUCAACGACAUUCUGUGAGUCCUCCUCAGUCAAUGUCAGCCCCAGAUGAUUCACCAGCAUUCGGCUAAUCUGCCUCACAACUUUCGUUUGCCGAAUCCAUUUAGGAACCAUAUUGCUCAAGGCCUAUGCAAAAUAAUGAGCGAAUAAUAUGCAUAUGGUAUAAAAUAUAUCACAUAAUGGGUAACCGCUCCAACCUCCAAAACUUCCAUUUUUACUCUCCUCCGAGAAUGAGAUUAGAGCACAAAGUCCCGGUGCUUAUUGGUUUUAGCAAAGAGAAAAUGAUCGAUUCAAGCAGAACUGAAUUUUGCUUCCCCUUACUCUUCGUCAAUUAUAAUUUAUUUUCCCUUUCCGCUGAACAAAAGAAAAAGGGACAUGCAGCCAGUUCCAUGGACCCCCGGGAAUCGGAUCGGGCAAAUCCGAAUCCAAAGCCGAAUAGGUUGGUUCCCAAUUUCACAAACUAGGACCCAGCCCCGUCUGGUCAAGUUCCCGGUUCCGGAGUGGGCCAAUUUAGCUCAGAAUCUACCCAUAAUCGGGUUCAAACAGUUCAGAGAAAAUUCAAAAUAACUUGGAAUUACCACCGCUCAAAGUUAGAAAAUCAAUCGUCAAAAAAAGUUAAAAAAUCAACAUCCCACUGAGAACCUUUCAGAUCAUCAUGUAACGUCAACUGAAAAUACAUUAGAUCAGAUCUAACGUAUUGUCUUCACUGACAUGUGCCGACUUUUGCCAACAAAUUGGAAGACGUUUAAUCCCCUUAAUCCCCUCGAUUUCUUCCUCGAUUCAAAAAUCUUCAAUCGGAAUUUAACUUUAUCAAUUCGCAAAGUUUCCAAAUCCAAUGGGGUGUCGGAACUUGUUCGGAGGUCUUGUGAGCAUGCAUCAAUCCCCGUUAGAUAUCAGAAUGAGGAGUCCAACAAGAGAAUACAGCUGAAAUCCAAGCGCCUCAAUUCUCAAGUCAAAUAUAAGCUAUCCAGAACUGCAAAUCCACCAGCGACUCCACCUUCAUGUGAUGAUGAUAUCUUUGUUCUCAUUAAAUAACCACACUGUUCAUUUACGAUGACAUUCUCUUUCUUCCUGGUAAGAUCAAUCUCAGAUUACCAUGAGCACAUCAAAUGCAUUUACAAACAUUGUCGCUGAAUUCACUAGUGCUAACACGUGCGAACAACGGUGCUGUAGAAGGCAUGAAAUAAAUUAAAAAAAGAAGCUUUGGUUAUCAGAUUUUCCCAUCCGACUCCAACUGCAAAGAUUAAAUUCCAAGUCAUUGAUUUUAAUUAAUCCGAGAUCACAUCCAUCAAACUAAUGAGAGAUGGAGCGACAUCAAAAAAUUACCUCACAUAAGCACCAUAUACCCCGAGUUCUGACAUGGCGUGAUCUUUAUAACAAAUGCCAUCACGAAUGAGAGUUGUGGGAGAAAUGGACGGAAAAAUUCUUUGCAUAAGGAUAUAGGCAGCAUCCUCCUCACUACCUUCACGUUGCAGCCUUAAUAGGGUUUCUCUCACGUCGUCGCCAUAGAUGUUGUUCCCUAAAGAGAGAAAUGACUUCAUUUUAGAAAGAAGAUAGCGCGGCUUAUAACAAAGCAAUCCUUGAAUAAUAUAAUCAAGGUGAGAGAUAAUUACCUCCCCCUUCCCUCUGGGGCUUCAUGACAAAUAGCUCGGGACUUUCAAUUGCUUUACCAACAAUAUGAGGGUCUUCUAAGCUCCAUAAACCUGCAAAGGAUUUCUGGAUCUCGGCAAUGUCUUCUUUGUUCUCAAGGAAUCUGAUAUAUGCACCAAUGGAGUCUCGUAAGUGAUCAAACACGUAGGAGAUAGAGUCUAUUCGACAGUGCAUCUUCUCCUGUAAUUAAAUUGACUUCUAAUGUUCCCAUCGAUAUGUUAUCGAGACUGUUCGGUAAGACAUAUGAAAGGAGCUAAAAUGGCCAUUUGGUAUUAAAAGUAGUCCUUAAUUCGCAGUCCUGGGUGCCAUUGAUUACAUCUAAGCUUCAAACUCAACUAAACAUCAUCAUAUUAGCUAUUGUUGUAUGCAUAGCACACAUCUAUAUACAUUUGUGCUUCAGGAGUUUUUCCAGGAAUGGUACGAUUCCAUAUAAAGCACAGAGCAUCCAGCGCCGCUGCUGGUGGCGCUGUCCUGCCUUCCUCCAUAUCCGGGAGCCCCACCUCCUCCAGUACCGCCUCCAGUAGUGCCUGUGCCCGGGAUCGGUCCUCCUCCAACUCCUCCGCUGCCUGUCCUUCAUCCAUGGCAUCUGGUUCCGUACGGAAGACGGAAAAUACAAGGGUUGCUCCCUGCUGUGCUGUCAUUUGCAGAAUAAAACUCUAGAGCAAAACACAAAUCAGUAUUCUUCCUAUUCCCAAAAAAAAGACAGCAAAAGAAAAGAGAAUACAUGGUUGAAGUUGUAUGGUAGCACAACUUCCUCUUCCCUCCCAUACUGUCCACCAAAGGAGGCGUAGAUGCGUUGAGCGACGUGGUCAACGAACGCAUCGAACUCAUCCAAAUUGAACUUGAAACUAUCCAAGCCGUUCACAAAUGCAGCAAUGGCGUCUGGGGUCCCAAGACGGACCCCAUCAAAAUCCAUGCUCGCUUCAUCAUAAAAGCUUAUCAGCUCUUGCCUAUCUGUUUCCAAAGAAAGAUGGUAUAAUGUACCCCAUUCUGCCGCCAGGUCUUUGAGUCCUUCAUCAUCCAUACCUCUGUUCUGUUCAAGAACAACAGGUGCAACCAACAUACGCAUAAAGAAAAAAAGGAAAAAAAAAAUGGCAGAGCUCGACCUCAUUUCCACAUACUGACCUGUCGACGACGCUCGAAGGGAAAAAGACGGUGGAGCCUCACCGCGAUCGCCGUCCGACGUUUGCAGAGAUUCGACGACGAAAUGAGAGAGCGGGGCGGUAUUCUGUUUAGGAUGACCGAGAAAUGGGUUUUCUCUUCCACCAAUCAGAGUUUUAAAUUUGGGAAAACACGUUUCGCGACGUCGUUUAUACUAUGUAUGCGGAGUUAGAGCAUGGGUGAGCCAAGUCAGAUUGAAAAAAAAAAAAAAAUUGAUAAAAUAUUACUUAUUUUGAAUUUUCAACUAUUCAAAUCAAAGUUAACACUUGAAGUGAAUCAAUAAAGCUACAUCUACCACCACCGCCCGGCCACCAAUCUUUCCUUACACGAGAUACGAGAUUCGAGAUUGGACAGGAUAAUUCCUACUCGCCGACAUUAGACAACUCUCAAAUGGAUGAACUGGCAUUGGAUAGAGCCGUCUGAUUGGGGCAUUUUUCUGCUUCUAGGGUUUGUGUGUGGAAAUCGAACUUACUUAAAUUGUGAAGAUGUUUAAACCAAUUCGAAUUUUGUGAAAGAUAUUUCUGCUUCUAGGAUUUGUGUGUGUGGAAAUCAAACUUACUUAAAUUGUGAAGAUGUUUAAACCAAUUCGAAUUUGUGAAAAACACGUACACAUCAGCAUUCAAAGCCCCCCUCAAAUUUAGUCGGGAUAUUUCUAUUAAUCAAGAUAAUAUAUAUAAUGAUUUCCCAACAAUAGUCAUAAAACUUAUUAUAAGGAUACCAAUUCAGUCUAAAAUUUUUCAAUUUGGUUAAUUCAGUCCUAACCUUUUAUUAAGAUUUGUCAAUAGUCUAUUCGAGCAAUUUUAAAUGACGAUAGGUGGUUGUUAGCCAAAAUUGACCGAAAUUGCUAUAUUGGUAAAUCUUCAAAAGUUUAGAAUUGAAUUAACAAAUUGAAAUUUUUUGAUUGAAUUUGCAUUUAUAUAUUAAGCUUGAGACUUAAAAAGAAAAAUCUCAUGUGCAUCGGUGGAGAAUCCGAAUGCGGUGUCAUAUCUUUUCAUUUGAAAUGUCAAUGUUUGAUACGCAUGCUGUGUUAAGCUGUAUAACGACAUGAAAACCAAAGUCCGUACAUCAUAUCUGGAAAGAUUUCGAUCGGCUAAGGACAAAUACCCAGUUAUUAUCCUACAUGGGAAAUCCGCCAACCGCGCGGUGGCAAGUCAAUGAUUUCAUCUCAAGGAUUGACCACCGAGGUGGCCAGAGCAGCACCUCACAUUUGGCUUUUGUAGAAGAAGAAUCAAAGCGCUUUUCUUUUUGGUAUAUCUAUGAUGAUGAUGAUAUUAUUAUUAUUAUUAUUAUUAUUAUUAUUAUUAUUAUUAUUAUUAUUAUUAUUAUUAUUAUUGAUCUAAUUCUCACGCACUCAAUAUAAUAUUCACACAUACCACGAGGACAUCUAGAGGACCGCAUGCACAUACGUAAGGUAUUCAUUUAUUUAUUCUUGGGUUUCCACGUUGUCUCUUCCUUUUUCUCCUUUUUCUUUUUUCAUUUUUAUAUUCCUUAGAAAUUAGCAGCCCCUUUAGAAGAAGCCUCUAUUCAAGGGGAAGAAAAGGUCGUCCCGGACUCCCCCAUCAUUGAGGUUCCACUAAAAUGACCAUUAAUUCAGGUUUUAAAUUCAAAGAGAUGAUCUCAGGUACCAACUCCUAACAAAAAAAUUAAAUUGGUCUAUACCAUGGUUUUGAUAAUUCAAACAUGAAUGUUUGUCUAAGGGAGAACCAUCACUUCAACGGGUUGCUUAUUAAACUCUCUUUUGAACUUAUCGUGGAAUCAAGCUGAAUUUCAGAUGAUGACAACAAGAGCAUAUGCAGGUGCAUGGUGCUUGCAUGUAUCUUUGCGAUAUAUGGGAAAUUGGGCCAUUUGCAUGAAAAAGUUGUAGGUGCUUCUUACUUUCUUAGUUUGCUAUUGAAAGCACACGGAAAUCGAAAACCAUGGAGAAGUCUAUCAAGUGACUAAACUUGAUUAAUUUGUAGAGCAUGGCACCUGGAGUUAGGCGUAUCGUCGGUUUUGAAUUUCAACUGGUUGUUUAUUAAACUCUCUUUUGAACUUAUCGUGGAAUCAAACUGAAUUUCAGAUGAUGGCAUCAAAAACAUGUACAAGUCGCCACGCCUGCGUGUAUAUUUGCGAUAUAUGGAAAUGGAAAUCAAAAUCGGGCCACUUGCAUGGAAAAAGUUGGAAUUGCUUUUUACUUUCUUAGUUGGCUAUUGAAAGCACACGGAAAUUGAAAACUAUGGAGAAGUCCAUCAAGUGACUAACCUUGAUUAAUCUGUAGAGUUAGGCGUACCGUCGGUCUUGAAUUUUCCAUAUGCAUCGUGAUGGGGGUAUAGAUAAGGGCUUUGCCUAGUAGAGAGGGGUGCGCACGCUAAAUUUUCAGCAUUAAGCUAAAACAUUCUCCUGUGGGUGAUCUAUAGUCUACUGACGCUAGACGCUCUUCUUUUUUCUUUUUCUUUUUUUUUUUUUUUUUUUGGGUGUGAAAUUAAAAAAGAAAAAAGAAGUAAAAGAAGUAAAACUUGUUAGAAACAAUAAUUAUCAAGUUGGAAUGUAGAAAUCAUGUUCAAUGUAUUGUUACUGUGAUUUAAUAUUUGCUUCUUUUCGUUUCUAAUUUGCUAAUAACUUGACAUCCCUUCUAUAGUUAAAAAGGAUUGUGAUAGUUGCGGACGAAGACUUUUGCAUUACAUUGUUUAGGCUGUUCUUUCACAUGCAUUGCUUGUCACUAUAUAGUAAUGAUAUUUUAAAAUGAGCAAUAAACUUACAUCUUAACCCAUAUUUGAUAAGUUGAGUUAUUGCAUGGAUUAGUUAUAUUUAGUAAAUGGAUUUAAAAUAGUAAAGUCUAAGAUAAUAUGGAUAUUAAACAAACUCACAGUUUACUUAAACCAAUUCACCUCUAUGACUCUCUCUCGCCCUUACUGAUCUCGCAAUCACUCACUCCACGUCCUUACCUCAGUUUGCAUAUGAGUUUUCCUAUAUUAGGUAGAACAUGAAAGCGCUUUAACCAUAUGAAUUAGGUUAGAUAGAAAAACGCGUCGGAUCAUUAUGAGUAUCUAAAUUUGUAUUGCAUAAAAAUAAGUCAAAACAACUUAAAUUGGCCAAAUUAGGUCAAUCUAUUUUUCACUCAACCCAAACCCAACCUAAUCCACCCAUUUCACGAGUCUCUAUAAUACUAAGUAUUAGGUUUUUAUCUCUUGUUUCCAACUAUACAAUUUCUUUUUUUUUUUUCUAAAGUAUUAAAGCUCGAUGGUCAGAGUUCUAAUCCUAACCCCAACACAUACUUUUCUUCACGCGUACUUCGAUUUUUGGCAUGCCCACAUUUGUCUACCUUUUCCAUUCUUGUUGUCAUAGAAUCCUCACCAUGUCCUAAAUUGAGGAAUGAAUUAGACUGAAGAAGUAAUUUCGUAGGGAAGUCGACUCAUGCCGUUUGUUGAGAAGAUCGCCUCAAAGUAAAUGGAUUGAUUCGCUUGGAGGAAAUUAAUGUGCAGAUGUCGGUGCGUUUGACAUUUUUUUUUUUUUUUUAAAAUAUCAUUUGUAUUGAAUGACUAAAAGGUAUUUUUAUAUUUCUAUGCAAAUAUUUAAAAAUAAAUGGUUAUCGAUAAAGAAAUUACUUUGUAUUGAUUAAUUAUUUCAUAAAAUAAGCAAUUAUUUUUAAAAUAUAUAUUUUCAGAUUAUUUAUUUUUCACCAAACAAACGGAGUUUGCCUAAUUGUUCGAUUGAUGCUAUUGGUGUUUCUUUUCAAUUCAAUCGUCACGAUAGCAAUAUGAUUAGAUCUUUUUAAAGUCUGAUUCGUUUGCUUUUACGCUAGGAUUUAUAUUUCCUUAAAAGACUUUGAAACCACAUAGCGGUACCUCUCUUGCAUACAUGCUCUUGGGACCACUAUAGUUAAUGCCCAGAUGUGAAGUUGCUUUGGUCACCCCUCCCAACCCAUUUUAAUCUAAAAUAAAAUAUUGACAGAAGGAUAAUAACUCACUCAGCACAUAUCCGAACUUUUGUCCAUCUUAUUAUCAAAUAUCUCAACUUUUUAUUUAUUUGAUCAAGUACCUCAAUUAUUCAAAUUUAACUCAAUAAAAGAUCUCUAGAGAAUAAAUUGUAUUCAUUUCUGUUUUGACUUUUUCAACAACGAAAACCUCUGGCAUAUGAUAUGGCUCGAGUCCUCCACAACUCCAUUAAGCAUUGAUGGAGGAGACUCGUCGUCAAAAGGAACUGCUGAUGAAAAUUCCACUCUGAGAAAGGUACCCACGUAAUUGGAACGGCAGUAGGGAUCCCAGAAGCAAGCAUCUUCACGUACAACCCAUCAAAGCCCCCAAACUCUUCAAACAGCCUUUCAAAUUCCUGGAAUCAUGCAGAAUAACAUUAAAAACCCAAAGAAAUGAAUAAUGCAAAGAAGAAACUAUAAGUUGAAAGAUGCAGUACCUUGAUGUUGACAUGAUAUUCCUUUGUGUCCCCCCUUCAAAGCACCCCAAUCAUGUCUGAAUUGUGCACUGUCUAUAAGCUUCUUGGAUGCAGCAUAAGUUACAGCUACGAGAUCCAUUUCCCACCUAUUUUUCACAUCAUUGUACCUUGUUUUGGACCUCGGUCCAAGAGAAUCUGUUCCUUCAAAGGUGUAAAAAAAUCCAUCAAUCCAAAUUCAGGCGAAGAAGGGGCUGAACUGGAAAAAGAAAAAACAAGGGGGGGCUUUCUAGUCUUUUCAGCCGACGGAGAACCGGUUUCGGGUAGGUCGGUGGAUCCGGACCCGAUGUUUCCAGAAUAAAAAAGAAAACCCUGGAAGCCCUGGAGAAAUUGUCUCCAGUUCACACAGAUCCAGGAGAGAUGUCGACGAUGGGUCCAGAAGAGGUGACAGAAGCGGAAGGAGGAGGAGGAGAGAUGUCGAUGAGGGGUCCGGAAGAAGACAGGGAUGCGAUGAUAGCGGAGGCCAAGCGGUUCGUGGAGAACUACUACAGCACGUUCGACGCGAACAGGGAGGGCUUGGUGAACCUGUACCGGCAACGAUCGGUGCUGAAAAUCGAGGGCCGGAAGAUCCAGGGCAAGGAGGCUAUCCUCGCCAAACUCAUCUCCCUUCCGCAGCCGUGCCACCACGAAUUCCCCGAGAUCAGUUGCUGCACCUAUCGCUUGGCACCCGCAUCGGCAUCGGUCGCCGUGCGCGUCCUGGUCCGCGGCGGGACGUGGUUAGGCGGCAAGAAGGAGGAGGCGGACGCCGCCCUUAUACAGCAGGUCUCUCUCGUUCUCUCUAAGUUAUUAUUUCUUGUCAACGCUUUGCAAUUUCUCUUAUCGAUCAAUCCGUUAAUCAAUCGCAUCGCGCAUAAAUACCGAGAGUACAUCUCAAGCUCCUUGUCUAACGCUCUGGCUGGCUCUGAUUCUUAACCUUCAGAGCUUCAAUCUGGUGCCAGCACGAGGAGGAAGCUUUUACAUAGCUCGACAAUCUGGGAUGCUCUUUGAUCUCAAGAAGCCUCGGUCCGGGGGUCUGUCCUACUGGCUACCGAAACCUCCCUGCUCGGCAGCGCCCUUUCUUGGCCCGUUAUAUCAAAUCCUAUCCUCGGCAUACCCGCCGACGUCGGCUGCCACGGCACCGAGUACGCCUCCGCAUUUCGAACGCCUCAGCAUUUCGAAUCCGAAUGCCACCCAUGAUGAAACUUCCUCCGUCUCUACAGAGACCUGAUGAUAAAACUGUUUUACUUUCAAUGUUCUAGACUCUUGUUUUAUUUUCAAUGUUUUGUUGCACUACUUUUGUGAAUACGUAUUGGAUUCAUGUUCGAAUCCAAGUUCAGCAUAUGUCAUACUGCUCUUAUGAACUGAACUCAGUGGCAGGGCCUUCUAAUUCUCGUGGUAAUAUACUUAAUGUUUCAUGACAUUAGCAGUGAGGAUGUUAAUAUGAUGGAUAAACACUGCUCCUCUCGACAAUACCUCGCCCAUGCUUCUAGAGGAAAUAACUUUUCUUUUAACAUACAAGUUUUAUUUCAUGACUUUAAUAUAGUACAGAUAAUCAUGAGUUAAGAUAAAAAUAAAUAGGGAGCAAUUUACAUUUUGGCCGCCAUCGGCGAAAUGGAAGGUAGACAGAUGACUCUAGGACUCUCUACCAACGAAUUCAGCGGAGCGAGCCGGUCAUUUGACAAGUUGAUUAUGACAUUUUCAGAUAAAUGCAGGAGAAGCGUAUCCUUUUUUUACACCUUUAUUUGAGACUUUGCGGGGCUCCUCCCUUGCAUUGACCGUGCUUAUCCAGCGUCGAGAUUGAUCCGCAUUUGUCCAUUUCACAAUCAUAAAGUGCAUGCAAAAUGGACCGGAGAAGUACUGCAUUACUGUGAUAGUAAAUUGCAGGACUGUCUCCGCCGGUACUUGUGGAUUCAAUCGUGCAAGAAGGGGGGACACCAUUUGCUUCUCAUCAAGCCCCCAACCGUACUGAAUGACCAUUCCUGUCGCCAUCCGUCACAGGUUAUGUAUCUUAAUAUAUAUGUCUACAUGUAUUCACCUUUCGCUGUGAGAGUUUUCUCAUGAAAGGUAAUCUAAGGUAGAGAACAUCGACAAACUUCUCAAAGCAUAAUGUUACAGGACCAACCUCUUGAGUUUGCUUCAGUUCGGAAGAAGAGAGAAAAUUCUUCCCCGGGAGGAAGUAGAAGCUGUGAAGCAACAUCCAAACCAAAGCAAAAUACAAGCUACUUUUCAAGGUAUGAUCUUAGUUCUGAGUUAGCAUUAACAGAGCCUUCACUCCGUGCCUCGGCGAUCUUUGUACAGCCAAUUCCCUGCAAGAAAGGGGUCAAAGUGAACGUCUUUAUAAGACCAAGGGCUCGAAAAUCCCAUAAGGCAUGCAUCUGCAAAUAACUUCUCCUGCGAAGAGGAGAACAAGAACAACCCAGGACACAUGUGGAUACGCUCAAUGUAGCACAAUGAUUAAAUUAAAUCUGCCAAAAUGCUCCAAUGACAGAUAAAGCCAUAAAUAGACAUCUCACGUCAUUGUGUUCGACUGUUUUGAUAUCCCGUUUCAUAUUAAACUCUUGAUCCUUAGAUACGACGGCAAGGAUCAUGGCCAACAAAAGCAUGGGACUGAUUCACUGAGUGCCCAGAUAAAGAAGGUAAUUUAUCAUGUCAAUAGCAUGAAUGGAUGACGGUACCACUGAAUGAAAAGUUCGAUAACGAACAACAUGCCAAUGCACAUAGCUUGAAAAGUGCCAGAAGGAAAAAGCACAAAAAAGAUUGAAAUGGCGAGCUGACAUCCAUGAAGGAUGAUGACAUUCCCUGUUCAGCAGUAGAACAGGACCCCUAAAAUAGGAAUAAGGCACUUGCCGGUACUUGCUCAUGAGCUUAAUAAGGCGCAUGCUAUUUCAUUACGAGAAAGAAAAAGAGGACAAUAACCUGCCACGUACAUGGUUCAAGCCACAAAUUGUCGACAACAUCAGAGUUUGAUAGUCAAAGAGCUAUAAGGCCAUGACCAGCCGCCCAAACAGCAUGAGGGAACUUGGUUUCCUCUGUCCACUUUCAAAUCGUCCAUAUUAUGCAAGUCACCUCAAAGAAACCAACGGAACUUGUACGCAUAACGAUAUCAUCGUUUGCUCGCUGGUCCGGGUAUAUCAAGUUAGCUAAAAUUUUAGAACAAUGAUUCUUAUCUGAUAACCCUACCACCUUCUAUUUUUAACCACUGAAUUUGUUGUACUCCCGAUUCUUUAGAGUGCGCAAAAAAUAAAACAGCAGAAAUUUAUAGAUUAGAAUUUUGUCAAUUUUUAGAAUUGUUCGGAAGACAAUAGCCCGGGAUAGUCCAACAAACUAAUAGUAAGCAUCAAGGAGAAUUAAUUGAGCAUAACUCCAUUGUUUAUUUGGCCGUACGGUUCAAUUAGAUCAACGACAUUCUGUGUGUCCUCCUCAGUCAAUGUCAGCCCCAGAUGAUUCACCAGCAUUCGGCUAAUCUGCCUCACAACUUUCGUUUGCCGAAUCCAUUUAGGAACCAUAUUGCUCAAGGCCUAUGCAAAAUAAUGAGCGAAUAAUAUGCAUAUGGUAUAAAAUAUAUCACAUAAUGGGUAACCGCUCCAACCUCCAAAACUUCCAUUUUUACUCUCCUCCGAGAAUGAGAUUAGAGCACAAAGUCCCGGUGCUUAUUGGUUUUAGCAAAGAGAAAAUGAUCGAUUCAAGCAGAACUGAAUUUUGCUUCCCCUUACUCUUCGUCAAUUAUAAUUUAUGUUCCCUUUCCUCUGAACAAAAGAAAAAGGGACAUGCAGCCAGUUCCAUGGACCCCCGGGAAUCGGAUCGGGCAAAUCCGAAUCCAAAGCCGAAUAGGUUGGUUCCCAAUUUCACAAACUAGGACCCAGCCCCGUCUGGUCAAGUUCCCGGUUCCGGAGUGGGCCAAUUUAGCUCAGAAUCUACCCAUAAUCGGGUUCAAACAGUUCAGAGAAAAUUCAAAAUAACUUGGAAUUACCACCGCUCAAAGUUAGAAAAUCAAUCGUCAAAAAAAGUUAAAAAAUCAACAUCCCACUGAGAACCUUUCAGAUCAUCAUGUAACGUCAACUGAAAACACAUUAGAUCAGAUCUAACGUAUUGUCUUCACUGACAUGUGCCGACUUUUGCCAACAAAUUGGAAGACGUUUAAUCCCCUUAAUCCCCUCGAUUUCUUCCUCGAUUCAAAAAUCUUCAAUCGGAAUUUAACUUUAUCAAUUCGCAAAGUUUCCAAAUCCAAUGGGGUGUCGGAACUUGUUCGGAGGUCUUGUGAGCAUGCAUCAAUCCCCGUUAGAUAUCAGAAUGAGGAGUCCAACAAGAGAAUACAGCUGAAAUCCAAGCGCCUCAAUUCUCAAGUCAAAUAUAAGCUAUCCAGAACUGCAAAUCCACCAGCGACUCCACCUUCAUGUGAUGAUGAUAUCUUUGUUCUCAUUAAAUAACCACACUGUUCAUUUACGAUGACAUUCUCUUUCUUCCUGGUAAGAUCAAUCUCAGAUUACCAUGAGCACAUCAAAUGCAUUUACAAACAUUGUCGCUGAAUUCACUAGUGCUAACACGUGCGAACAACGGUGCUGUAGAAGGCAUGAAAUAAAUUAAAAACAGAAGCUUUGGUUAUCAGAUUUUCCCAUCCGACUCCAACUGCAAAGAUUAAAUUCCAAGUCAUUGAUUUUAAUUAAUCCGAGAUCACAUCCAUCAAACUAAUGAGAGAUGGAGCGACAUCAAAAAAUUACCUCACAUAAGCACCAUAUACCCCGAGUUCUGACAUGGCGUGAUCUUUAUAACAAAUGCCAUCACGAAUGAGAGUUGUGGGAGAAAUGGACGGAAAAAUUCUUUGCAUAAGGAUAUAGGCAGCAUCCUCCUCACUACCUUCACGUUGCAGCCUUAAUAGGGUUUCUCUCACGUCGUCGCCAUAGAUGUUGUUCCCUAAAGAGAGAAAUGACUUCAUUUUAGAAAGAAGAUAGCGCGGCUUAUAACAAAGCAAUCCUUGAAUAAUAUAAUCAAGGUGAGAGAUAAUUACCUCCCCCUUCCCUCUGGGGCUUCAUGACAAAUAGCUCGGGACUUUCAAUUGCUUUACCAACAAUAUGAGGGUCUUCUAAGCUCCAUAAACCUGCAAAGGAUUUCUGGAUCUCGGCAAUGUCUUCUUUGUUCUCAAGGAAUCUGAUAUAUGCACCAAUGGAGUCUCGUAAGUGAUCAAACACGUAGGAGAUAGAGUCUAUUCGACAGUGCAUCUUCUCCUGUAAUUAAAUUGACUUCUAAUGUUCCCAUCGAUAUGUUAUCGAGACUGUUCGGUAAGACAUAUGGAAGGAGCUAAAAUGGCCAUUUGGUAUUAAAAGUAGUCCUUAAUUCGCAGUCCUGGGUGCCAUUGAUUACAUCUAAGCUUCAAACUCAACUAAACAUCAUCAUAUUAGCUAUUGUUGUAUGCAUAGCACACAUCUAUAUACAUUUGUGCUUCAGGAGUUUUUCCAGGAAUGGUACGAUUCCAUAUAAAGCACAGAGGAUGAAGAAAUGUGAUCUGUUGAACAAAAUAUAUCACCUUUCAAGUACAUUAGGUUUUGCAAGUUCUUGCUGAAUCUUUUUCGUGCCGGCUAAAUGAUAAGAUAUGGAUGGGCACUUAAUUGCAGAUGACUCUUCCGUAAGUAGCCUUGCUCUCCAUUCCUACAAUACAGCAAGAAACAAAACUUAAGUCACACCUUUCAAGCAUUGACCCAGGGCUUAAGAUUUCCGCACUUCUUACUAUUUUAUAACAUAGGGUUUUCAAGUGGCACUAAUUUGACGCCUGUCAACUUCUUGAGGUUGUGUGAAGAAUGGAUUUCAUAUUUCCUCUUAUUGGUUUCUUUCCAUUCCCUCUGUUUACUUACUUUGUGGAUAAUCAUUUAUUUGCCUUCCACCCAGAAAUUUUUUUAAGUUGAUGAUAUUUUCUGGAACAAAGUCCACUUUUUCCAUAACCAAUUGGACAAACUUGGUUAUUUGGAGGAAAUGUCAUGAUUACAUUGUUUAGUAUUCUUUUACAUCGCAUAAUGCUAUAUGUUUUGAACAUGAAGUCAAUUGUUUAGCCAAGCUUGGCUUACGAAUGUUCAUAUGUACAUUAUCAAGUAUUGUUCAUUGUGGCCAGUCUCAUGGAAUUAUGAUAUAGUAAUGAGGGAAUCCUAACAAUCAAAAUGUGCAGGAAAUAGAGAAGUAUAUUAUAAUCAUGAAUCUAACAGAAAUAAUCGACUUGCAUAAAACAUCAUGAUGAUACUAAUAAUUGUUCUAUUCAGUCAUCAAGACAUAUAAAAGCGAAUCUUUAUGAAAACUAGAGUAAGGAUGCAGUCACUAUAACAUUGUAAGAAAUGCUGCCACAGAAAUAUUUUAUGAGAAGAAUAAAACCCGCCUCAAACGCGGGAUUUUCACUAGUAUGGUAAUAAAACAUAUCUAUAAAGAAAGCAUCUGGUAAAGCUAAAAUGGAAGGAGAAAUUUUCUGAAAAUUAAUCACAGCUACAGUCAAUAUUUCAAGGAAGACAAUCUUCUCUUAGUUGCUAUUAGCUAAUUAUUAGGAUAAGGCUUAAGGAUGUACCGAUUCUGAAGGAUAAUCAUUUGGGGUAUACCCGGCUCUAAAAUAAAUAGCUGCUACAGGGACUCCACCUCUUGCAAUAGCAAAUCUUCAUUAUGUAAGUGAAACGUGCAUGUAAAGCCAAAGUUCAACAAGAUAAACUAGAGAUGUCAGCAACUACAUACACAAGUAACGUCCCAUCAGGCUGAAGUUCCCCCUCUGCAUCAAUUUCUGCUAAGGUCUUCCGAAUAGACCUCACAUUAUGUGUGUUAUAUAAUUAAGGAAGCAUCCAAAGCAAAUUAUGGACAUGAAGAGACUGAUGGACAGAAAUAGAGAACUUUAUAGUUUGGAAAGCAGAUUUUUGGACGCAGAGCAUCAUAGCAGAUAGAUGUAGAAUCCAAGAAAUGAUCUAAGAGAGACAAAGAGAGAUAAUCACAGAUAUAACCUACCCUUCUGAUAUCUCAAAACAAUCGCUAGUAUAUAGAAGGAUAUCUUUCGCUCACGACAGAGCUAAGCCAGUGCAGGUCGUACAUAUUUCGUUCCUCUGUCUGAACCACAACCAGAACAGUGGCCCUGUUAAAAGUAAUCAAUUGUAAUCAGGUCUUAAUGAAAUAUACUCCACAUAUGCAGACCUAUGAAUAAAAAAAAGAAAAGAAGACGACCAUAAUUAUUUUGCAAUUCUUACUUUGGGUUAUUGAACUCGAUCCAAGCUUUGGCCAAGGCCUCUGCAUAAUGACUCACAGCAGCAUUGGUAGGGAUCCUCCUGGGAUCUAACCCAAGAGUUUCGCCAUAAUGGCUGAGCAAGGACCCGUGUCAUUGCCACCUGACGUUAAGAUCAAGCUUUUGGUCUUCUGUGACCAUCUUUGACCGUGCAUGUGAACAGGUGCGUAUGGGCUUAGAGAAAUCACAGGGAAUGUAAGAGUCAGUACAUAUGACCAACCUAACCUGUGGAGCUCACUAACAAGACAGCCAAGACCCGGAAAUGAGGAUGAUAUGGUGUUCAGUUCUAUCUGAAGCAGUAACUUCGUUUGUUCAUCAAGCGUAUAAUCCGAUUGAUGCAAACCCAGUCGUAUCUCCUGUGGAGAAUUGAGAGAGCAAAAUUAUGGGGUUUAGCACACUAAUCAUAUUCAGCAAUCAGCAUAUUUUUCUUCCAGACGAGGAAAGCAGCCAAUCAAAGUGACAUGAACUUGAAAAGCCAGUUUUAAUACACUAUUGCAACCAAACUUAAGGUAAAGCUUUCACAAAAUUCUAAAUUUAUGAACUUACAUCUUUUUUAUUAAUUUCCAUCAUCUUGGAAUGGAUAUCUACGAGUCGAGAGGUGAAAGCAUCCACCUCUUUUGUUCUGCAAUGAGAAGAAGUUACAUCAUGUAAUUCAACAGUAAGUUCGGACUUGCUUCACCAAUGCGACAACUAAAAGCCGGACUACAAAAAUACCAUUGAUUGCAAGGAAGGUAGAAGGGCUCAUAAUUUCCAAAAUACUAGGUUAUGAGAAAAAUAGAAGAGCUAAAAGGAGUUGAAUUUUUCAUAAGCUAAGAAACAACCAAGAGCAUAUGAUACAAGCCAAAGCAGAGUGAGAAUUGAAUCAGACCUAAGAAUUCACAUGAAACAAUGGUCUUAAUCUUCUUGAAUUGGACACUAUAUGCUUAUAGCAUAAACUACAUGCCGUAUUCGACCAAAAGAAGAAAAAAAAAAAAAACUACAUGCUGCAGACAUAUAGAUAAAGCAGAAUAAAUACCUGGAUAAUGAAUCUUGUAAAAACUUUCCAUCCAAACUCACACGAUCGACAAGCUCAUUGAAAAUAGGAGCUAAUUCGCAAGCCUCCCUAAACUGACUCUCGGGAAUGAGAUGGGCAACAAAGCAAACGGAGCAUGCAUCAGACCGACACCAGGUGCUUUUCCUGAUCUCUGCAACACAUACGCAUAAAUACCAUUAUCAGUCAAACUGUAGAAUUAAACAACCCAGAUCAAAUUCGACAGGAAACUCCAUAAACAGCACAUCAGAAAGUCGCAUAUUCCAAGUCAUUGAUUUUGAUUAAUCAGAGAUCACAUCCAUCAAACUAAUGAGAGAUGGAGUGACAUCAAAAAAUUACCUCACAUAAGCACCAUAUACCCCGAGUUCUGACAUGGCGUGAUCUUUAUAACAAAUGCCAUCACGAAUGAGAGUUGUGGGAGAAAUGGACGGAAAAAUUCUAUGCAUGAGGAUAUAGGCAGCAUCCUCCUCACUCCCUUCACGUUGCAGCCUUAAUAGGGUUUCUCUCACAUCGUCGCCAUAGAUGUUGUUCCCUAAAGAGAGAAAUGACUUCAUUUUAGAAAGAAGAUAGCGCGGCUUAUAACAAAGCAAUCCUUGAAUAAUAUAAUCAAGGUGAGAGAUAAUUACCUCCCCCUUCCCUCUGGGGCUUCAUGACAAAUAGCUCGGGACUUUCAAUUGCUUUACCAACAAUAUGAGGGUCUUCUAAGCUCCAUAAACCUGCAAAGGAUUUCUGGAUCUCGGCAAUGUCUUCUUUGUUCUCAAGGAAUCUGAUAUAUGCACCAAUGGAGUCUCGUAAGUGAUCAAACACGUAGGAGAUAGAGUCUAUUCGACAGUGCAUCUUCUCCUGUAAUUAAAUUGACUUCUAAUUUUCCCAUCGAUAUGUUAUCGAGACUGUUCGGUAAGACAUAUGAAUGGAGCUAAAAUGGCCAUUUGGUAUUAAAGGUAGUCCUUAAUUCGCAGUCCUGGGUGCCAUUGAUUACAUCUUAGCUUCAAACUCAACUAAACAUCAUCAUAUUAGCUAUUGUUGUAUGCAUAGCACACAUCUAUAUACAUUUGUGCUUCAGGAGUUUUUCCAGGAAUGGUACGAUUCCAUAUAAAGCACAGAGGAUGAAGAAAUGUGAUCUGUUGAACAAAAUAUAUCACCUUUCAAGUACAUUAGGUUUUGCAAGUUCUUGCUGAAUCUUUUUCGUGCCGGCUAAAUGAUAAGAUAUGGAUGGGCACUUAAUUGCAGAUGACUCUUCCGUAAGUAGCCUUGCUCUCCAUUCCUACAAUACAGCAAGAAACAAAACUUAAGUCACACCUUUCAAGCAUUGACCCAGGGCUUAAGAUUUCCGCACUUCUUACUAUUUUAUGACAUAGGGUUUUCAAGUGGCACUAAUUUGACGCCUGUCAACUUCUUGAGGUUGUGUGAAGAAUGGAUUUCAUAUUUCCUCUUAUUGGUUUCUUUCCAUUCCCUCUGUUUACUUACUUUGUGGAUAAUCAUUUAUUUGCAUUCCACCCAGAAAUUUUUUUAAGUUGAUGACAUUUUCUGGAACAAAGUCCACUUUUUCCAUAACCAAUUGGACAAACUUGGUUAUUUGGAGGAAAUGUCAUGAUUACAUUGUUUAGUAUUCUUUUACAUCGCAUAAUGCUAUAUGUUUUGAACAUUAAGUCAAUUGUUUAGCCAAGCUUGGCUUACGAAUGUUCAUACGUACAUUAUCAAGUAUUGUUCAUUGUGGCCAGUCUCAUGGAAUUAUGAUAUAGUAAUGAGGGAAUCCUAACAAUCAAAAUGUGCAGGAAAUAGAGAAGUAUAUUAUAAUCAUGAAUCUAACAGAAAUAAUCGACUUGCAUAAAACAUCAUGAGGAUACUAAUAAUCGUUCUAUUCAAUCAUCAAUACAUAUAAAUGUAAAUCUUUAUGAAAACUAGAGUAAGGAUGCAGUCAUUAUAACAUUGUAAGAAAUGCUGACGCAGAAAUAUUUUAUGAGAAGAAUAAAACCCGCCUCAAACGCGGGAUUUUCACUAGUAUGGUAAUAAAACAUAUCUAUAAAGAAAGCAUCUGGUAAAGCUAAAAUGGAAGGAGAAAUUUUCCGAAAAUUAAUCACAACUACAAUCAAUAUUACCUCCCCCUUCCCUCUGGGGCUUCAUGACAAAUAGCUCGGGACUUUCAAUUGCUUUACCAACAAUAUGAGGGUCUUCUAAGCUCCAUAAACCUGCAAAGGAUUUCUGGAUCUCGGCAAUGUCUUCUUUCUUCUCAAGGAAUCUGAUAUAUGCACCAAUGGAGUCUCGUAAGUGAUCAAACACGUAGGAGAUACAGUCUAUUCGACAGCUCAUCUUCUCCUGUAAUUAAAUUGACUUCUAAUGUUCCCAUCGAUAUGUUAUCGAGACUGUUCGGUAAGACAUAUGAAAGGAGCUAAAAUGGCCAUUUGGUAUUAAAAGUAGUCCUUAAUUCGCAGUCCUGGGUGCCAUUGAUUACAUCUAAGCUUCAAACUCAACUAAACAUCAUCAUAUUAGCUAUUGUUGUAUGCAUAGCACACAUCUAUAUACAGACAAAAUGAGUUUCAGUCUAAUAAAAUGUAAAGCAAAGCUGGGAGCGCUUCAAGCAUCCAGCGCCGCUGCUGGUGGCGCUGUCCUGCCUUCCUCCAUAUCCGGGAGCCCCACUUUCUCCAGUAGUGCCUGAAACUGGGAUCGGUCCUCCUCCUCCUCCAUCCAUCCUCCUCCUCCGCUGCCUGUCCUUCAUCCAUGGCAUCUGGUUCCGUACGGAAGACGGAAAAUACAAGGGUUGCUCCCUGCUGUGCUGUCAUUUGCAGAAUAAAACUCUAGAGCAAAACACAAAUCAGUAUUCUUCCUAUUCCCAAAAAAAAGGCACAGCAAAAGAAAAGAGAAUACAUGGUUGAAGUUGUAUGGUAGCACAACGUCCUCUUCCCUCCCAUACUGUCCACCAAAGGAGGCGUAGAUGCGUUGAGCGACGUGGUCAACGAACGCAUCGAACUCAUCCAAAUGGAACUUGAAUCUAUCCAAACCGUUCACAAACGCAGCAAUGGCCUCCGGGGUCCCAAGACGGACCCCAUCAAAAUCCAUGCACGCUUCAUCAUAAAAGCUUAUCAGCUCUUGCCUAUCCCUUGCCAAAAUAUCAUGGUAUAACACACCCCAACCUGCCGCCAUGUCUUUGAGUCUUUCAUCAUCCAUACCUCUGUUCUGUUCAAGAACAAUAGGUGCAAAUAACGUACGCAUAAAGAAAAAAAGGAAAAAAAAAAAAAUGGCAGAGCUCGACCUCAUUUCCACAUACUGACCUGUCGACGACGCUCGAAGGGAAAAAGACGGUGGAGCCUCACCGCGAUCGCCGUCCGACGUUUGCAGAGAUUCGACGACGAAAUGAGAGAGCGGGGCGGUAUUCUGUUUAGGAUGACCGAGAAAUGGGUUUUCUCUUCCACCAAUCAGAGUUUUAAAUUUGGGAAAACACGUUUCGCGACGUCGUUUAUACUAUGUAUGCGGAGUUAGAGCAUGGGUGAGCCAAGUCAGAUUGAAAAAAAAAAAAAAUUGAUAAAAUAUUACUUAUUUUGAAUUUUCAACUAUUCAAAUCAAAGUUAACACUUGAAGUGAAUCAAUAAAGCUACAUCUACCACCACCGCCCGGCCACCAAUCUUUCCUUACACGAGAUACGAGAUUCGAGAUUGGACAGGAUAAUUCCUACUCGCCGACAUUAGACAACUCUCAAAUGGAUGAACUGGCAUUGGAUAGAGCCGUCUGAUUGGGGCAUUUUUCUGCUUCUAGGGUUUGUGUGUGGAAAUCGAACUUACUUAAAUUGUGAAGAUGUUUAAACCAAUUCGAAUUUGUGAAAGAUAUUUCUGCUUCUAGGGUUUGUGUGUGGAAAUCAAACUUACUUAAAUUGUGAAGAUGUUUAAACCAAUUCGAAUUUGUGAAAAACACGUACACAUCAGCAUUCAAAGUCCCCCUCAAAUUUAGUCGCGAUAUUUCUAUUAAUCAAGAUAAUAUAUAUAAUGAUUUCCCAAAAAUAGUCAUAAAACUUAUUACAAGGAUACCAAUUCAGUCUAAAAUUUUUCAAUUUGCUUAAUUUAGUCCUAACCUUUUAUUAAGAUUUGUCAAUAGUCUAUUCGAGCAAUUUUAAAUGACGAUAGGUGGUUGUUAGCCAAAAUUGACCGAAAUUGCUAUAUUGGUAAAUCUUCAAAAGUUUAAAAUUGAAUUAAUACAUUGAAAAAUUUUGAUUGAAUUUGCAUUUAUAUAUUAAGUUUGAGACUUAAAAAGAAAAAUCUCAUGUGCAUUGGUGGAGAAUCCGAAUGCGGUGUCAUAUCUUUUCAUUUGAAAUGUUAAUGUUUGAUACGCAUGCUGUGUUAAGCUGUAUAACGACAUGUAAACCAAAGUCCGUACAUCAUAUCUGGAAAGAUUUCGAUCGGCUAAGGACAAAUACCCGGUUAUUAUCCCACAUGGGAAAUCCGCCAACCGCGCGGUGGCAAGUCAAUGAUCUCAUCUCAAGGAUUGACCGCCGAGGUGGCCAGAGCAGCACCUCACAUUUGGCUUUUGUAGAAGAAGAAUCAAAGCGCUUUUCUUUUUGGUAUAUCUAUGAUGAUGAUGAUAUUAUUAUUAUUAUUAUUAUUAUUAUUAUUAUUAUUAUUAUUGAUCUAAUUCUCACGGACUCAAUAUAAUAUUCACACAUACCACGAGGACAUCUAGAGGACCGCAUGCACAUACGUAAGGUAUUCAUUUAUUUAUUAUUGGGUUUCCACGUUGUCUCUUCCUUUUUCUCCUUUUUCUUUUUUCAUUUUUAUAUUCCUUAGAAAUUAGCAGCCCCUUUAGAAGAAGCCUCUAUUCAAGGGGAAGAAAAGGUCGUCUCGGACUCCCCCAUCAUUGAGGUUCCACUAAAAUGACCAUUAAUUCAGGUUUUAAAUUCAAAGAGAUUGUCUCAGGUACCAACUCCUAACAAAAAAAUUAAAUUGGUCUAUACCAUGAUUUUGAUAAUUCAAAGAGAUUGUCUAAGGGAGAACCAUCACUUCAACGGGUUGCUUAUUAAACUCUCUUUUGAACUUAUCGUGGAAUCAAACUGAAUUUCAAAUGAUGACAACAAGAGCAUGUGCAGGUGCAUGGUGCUUGCAUGUAUCUUUGCGAUAUAUGGGAAAUUGGGUCAUUUGCAUGAAAAAGCUGUAGGUGCUUCUUACUUUCUUAGUUUGCUAUUGAAAGCACACGGAAAUCGAAAACCAUGGAGAAGUCUAUCAAGUGACUAAACUUGAUUAAUCUGUAGAGCAUGGCACCUAGAGUUAGGCGUAUUGUCGAUCUUGAAUUUCAACGGGUUGUUUAUUAAACUCUCUUUUGAACUUAUCGUGGAAUCAAACUGAAUUUUAGAUGAUGGCAUCAAGAAUAUGUGCAAGUCGCCACGCUUGCGUGUAUAUUUGCGAUAUAUGGAAAUGGAAAUCAAAAUCGGGCCACUUGCAUGGAAAAAGUUGGAAUUGCUUUUUACUUUCUUAGUUGGCUAUUGAAAGCACGUGGAAAUUGAAAACUAUGGAGAAGUCCAUCAAGUGACUAACCUUGAUUAAUCUGUAGAGUUAGGCGUACCGUCGGUCUUGAAUUUUCCGUAUGCAUCGUGAUGAGGGUAUAGAUAAGGGCUUUGCCUAGUAGAGAGGGGUGUGCACGCUAAAUUUUCAGCAUUAAGCUAAAACAUUCUCCUGUGGGUGAUCUAUAGUCUACUGACGCUAGACGCCCUUCUUUUUUCUUUUUUCUGGGUGUGAAAUUAAAAAGAAAAAGAAAAAAAGAGAAGUAAAACUUGUUAGAAACAAUAAUUAUCAAGUUGGAAUGUAGAAAUCAUGUUCAAUGUAUUGUUACUGUGAUUUAAUAUUUGCUUCUUUUCGUUUCUAAUUUGCUAAUAACUUGACAUCCCUUCUAUAGUUAAAAAGGUUGUGAUAGUUGCGGACGAAGACUUUUGCAUUACAUUGUUUAGGCUGUUUUUUCACAUGCAUUGCUUGUCACUAUAUAGUAAUGAUCUUUUAAAAUGAGCAAUAAACUUAUAUCUUAACCCAUAUUUGAAAAGUUGAGUUAUUGCAUGGAUUAGUUAUAUUUAGUAAAUGGAUUUAAAAUAGUAAAGUCUAAAAUAAUAUGGAUAUUAAACAAACUCACGGUUUACUUAAACCAAUUCACCUCUAUGACUCUCUCUCGCCCUUACUAAUCUCGCAAUCACUCACUCCACGUCCUUACCUCAGUUUGCAGAUGAGUUUUCCUAUAUUAGGUAGAACAUGAAAGCGCUUUAACCAUAUGAAUUAGGUUAGAUAGAAAAACGCGUCAGAUCAUUAUGAGUAUCUAAAUUUGUAUUGCAUAAAAAUAAGUCAAAACAACUUAAAUUGGCCAAAUUAGGUCAAUUUAUUUUUCACUCAACCCAAACCCAACCUAAUCCACCCAUUUCACGAGUCUCUAUAAUACUAAGUAUUAGGUUUUUAUCUCUUGUUUCCAACUAUACAAAUUUUUUUUCUAAAGUAUUAAAGCUCGAUGGUCAGAGUUCUAAUCCUAACCCCGACACAUACUAUUCUUCACGCGUACUUCGAUUUUUGGCAUGCCCACAUUUGUCUACCUUUUCCAUUCUUGUUGUCAUAGAAUCCUCACCAUGUCCUAAAUUGAGGAAUGAAUUAGACUGAAGAAGUAAUUUCGUAGGGAAGUCGACUCAUGCCGUUUGUUCAGAAGAUCGCCUCAAAGUAAAUGGAUUGAUUCGCUUGGAGGAAAUUGAUGUGCACUUGUCGGUGCGUCUAACAUUUUUUUUUUUAUAAAUAUCAUUUGUAUUGAAUGACUAAAAUAUAUUUUUAUUUUUCUAUGCAAAUAUUUAAAAAUAAAUGGUUAUCGAUAAAGAAAUUACUUUGUAUUGAUUAAUUAUUUCAUAAAAUAAGCAAUUAUUUUUAAAAUAUAUAUUUUCAGAUUAUUUAUUUUUCACCAAACAAACGGAGUUUGCUUAAUUGUUCGAUUGAUGCUAUUGGUGUUUCUUUUCAAUUCAAUCGCCUCGUCAACAAUCUCCUCUGACCCCUUAACGAACCCCUCUCUCUCUCUUCAAUUCCCUCACCUCCUCGCACGUACCCCGCCCGCAUUGUCUCCUCCUCCUGCAAUUGCCGUUUUUCCAAUUUCACCGCCUUCAUCGCCACCUCCACCUCCUCGAUACGCCCCUCCCCUCUCCUAAUCUCAUCCAUCCAUCUCAGAACCACCGAAACCUUCUCCAGCAAUCUCUCCGUGCAAUUCCAAUACUCGUGCCCUUUCACUUCCGACCGCUCCUCAAUUCUCUCCAAAUUCAGCCGUAGCGGUGGCGAAGAAGGGGCUGAACUGGAAAAAGAAAAAACAAGGGGGGGCUUUCUAGUCUUUUCAGCCGACAGAGAACCGGUUUCGGGUCGGUCGGUGGAUCCGGACCCGAUGAUUCCAAAAUAAAAAAGAAAACCCUGGAAGCCCUAGAGAAAUUGUCUCCAGUUCACACAGAUCCAGCAGGAGGAGGAGGAGGAGGAGGAGGAGGAGAGAUGUCGACGAUCGGUCCAGAAGACGUGACAGAAGCGGAAGGAGGAGGAGGAGGAGAGAUGUCGAUGGUGGGUCCGGAAGAAGACAGGGAUCCGAUGAUAGCGGAGGCCAAGCGGUUCGUGGAGAACUACUACAGCACGUUCGACGCGAACAGGGAGGGCUUGGUGAACCUGUACCGGCAACGAUCGGUGCUGAAAAUCGACGGCCGGAAGAUCCAGGGCAAGGAGGCUAUCCUCGCCAAACUCACCUCCCUUCCGCAGCCGUGCCACCACGAAUUCGCCGAGGUCAGUUGCGGCACCUAUCGCUUGGCACCCGCAUCGGCAUCGGUCGCCGUGUCCGUCCUGGUCGGGGGCGGGACGUGGUUAGGCGGCAAGAAGGAGGAGGCGGACGCCGCCCUUAUACAGCAGGUCUCUCUCGUUCUCUCUAAGUUAUUAUUUCUUGUCAACGCUUUGCAAUUUCUCUCAUCGAUCAAUCCAUUAAUCAAUCGCAUCGCGCAUAAAUACCGAGAGUACAUCUCAAGCUCCUUGUCUAACGCUCUGGCUGG
rnacentral:lncRNA from 1 species